UGUCUCGACCAUCGCGUGGCUGUUCCUGUUGGUGUCGAGGAGGUGGCUCCGGCGACGCGUCGAGGUCGCUUCCAGGGUAUCUUCCCCAUGAAGGAGCGGCAGAUCUUCUAGGUCCUCCGCGAGAGAGGAAAGGGCUUUCACGAAUGAAGAGGCUGUUGAUUUUGGCGUUGCGUAUUUCCGAGAGUGUUUACAGGAGCAUACGCUCCGGUGGAUGACCAUAUUCGUGCUAGCUUCGGCGGGCAUCAAAGACAGGUGCAUGCCCAGCAUCAAAAGUUUUGGUUGCUAAUCACUGAUCAAUAACAGGCUUGGUGUUGCCAAUUGAAAAGAACAGUGGAAGGAUCGAGUUUUCUUUGUAUUGGCUAGCCUCAGCCAUUGAAGGCUUCUUCACUGUUCUCUCGAGUAUCAAAGUUUAAGUGAGCUGAUGUUAUCGGUAUUCAGUUUCAGCAGCAACCAUCAUCUUGCACGUCUAGGCACAACAAGAAUGGGAGGUGCUCUAGUCAAAGUACUUGAAUGAGCUCGAUAGGGUCUUUGGCACACUGCCAUCAUCUGAUGUUGAACAUUUAAAGAAUUCCUAAAUGGUUGAAGUUCUUGCUACUCUGACACAGGUGACGUUUAGGUCAAAUGUGCUGAUAUAAGUUGGAUCUAAUUAUGAAAAAGAGAUAAAUCAGGACUGCUGGAUGAUAUGAGGAUCAUUGGCUUCAUUUCCUUGGCCAACUUUGCUGAGUUUUCAACCUUCUAAAGAGCUCUAAGGUCUGUCUUUACACAUAGAUUUGGCUUUGUUUCAGCAAAUGUAGUGAAACAGGUAAUUGAUGAAUCUCUCUCUAGGAAAUCUAGUAUCUGUCUGUGUAAGAUGAAAGACCCAAGUUUUCUAUCAGAAGAAAGUGCCUCAGCAAUUUGAUUCAUUCAAGGUUAAUGAUUUCUGCUGUUCCAAAUUGGAUUCCAGAUCAUGUUGAACUAUCCUUGUUCACUGGUUGGUUUCAAGAAACUUUUAGUUUGGCGGCUGUGUUGCAAAGAUCAACAUGGAAAUUGAAGCACUUGAAAGCUUCCACACUUUCCUCUGCUUCAUCCUGCCUACUAUUGAGGUUUGAUCACAUCCCUCAAACAAAUUUUCAUGCAGCAAUCUCUUUAAUUAUCUGUACAAAUAUUAAG